rnacentral:rRNA from 1 species
GACGAACGCUGGCGGCGUGCUUAACACAUGCAAGUCGAGCGGAGCGGCGAACGGGUGAGUAACGCGUGAGUAACUGCCCCCCUCUCUGGGAUAACAGUUGGAAACGGCUGCUAAUACCGGAUAGUGGGGGAUGACUCGCGUCCUAUCAGCUUGUUGGUGGGGUAGUGGCCUACCAAGGCGACGACGGGUAGCCGGCCUGGGAGGGGGACCGGCCACAUGUGGCUGAGGUAGGGCCCACACUGGUACGGGGGGCAGCGGGGGGGAAUAUUGCACAAUGGGGGAGCCCGUGAUGCAGCAACGCCGCGUGCGGGAUGACGGCCGUCGGGUUGUAAACCGCAUUCAGCCAUGACGCGGUAGUGGCAGAAGAAGCACCGGCUAACUACGUGCCAGCAGCCGCGGUAAUUC